UUUUAUUUUUUGUUGGUUGCAGAUUAUAAUACACGAAUUUAUCAAACCAUGAUUCAAAAUUUUCUACAUAGAUAGAUGCAAAUCAUAUAUAUGAAAUUUUCUACAUAGAUAGAUGCAAAUUUUCUACAUAAGUGACACAUCAUCACACCAGUGAAUGCCACAUGUCAUUCUAAAUUAUUAUCAUUAAAAAUAACAAAAUUUAGUGAUAAAAAUGAAAAGUUUUACAUUGCAUUGAAUCAUCCAUUAAUCCUACUCUUAACUAAAUAUCUUCAUUUAAAAGAAAAAAUACAAAAAAUCAUGUUAAUGUAUCAAACACUACUUUCAUUUUACUUUUCUUAUUUUGCUAUUUUUUAAUAGUCAUUACUUGAUAACGACUAGAAAGUUUCGUGUAUUGCAACUUAGUUGUUUGCUACUUAACCUUUUUUAGUUUAGUAAUUUUAACUUACUUUUUUCUUACAUUUUUUGGUCUACAUGAUUGUCUUUUUGUGCUUUAUGAUAAAUUGAUAACAUUAAUAAUGACAUGCAUGUUUUUUUAAAGUAAUGGUCUUUUCAGAUGUUAGAUAUACCAAAAAAUUAAAUAUACGACACUAUCUCCAAUAUGACUAUAUGCAAAUGCAAAGAGAGAAACAUAAAAUUGUUGACUUAGAAGACUAUUUAAUUCUUGCUUU
rnacentral:sRNA from 1 species